AGACAGAGGGGGCAAGCGUUGCUCGGAAUCACUGGGCGUAAAGGGCGCGUAGGCGGGAUGGCAAGUCAGUCGUGAAAUCUCUCGGCUCAACCGAGAAACGUCGGCUGAUACUGCCGUUCUUGAGGGAUGCAGAGGAGACUGGAAUUCCCGGUGUAGCGGUGAAAUGUGUAGAGAUCGGGAGGAACACCGGUGGCGAAGGCGGGUCUCUGGGCAUUUCCUGACGCUGAGGCGCGAAAGCGUGGGGAGCAAACG
rnacentral:rRNA from 1 species